CAACCCUACUCAUAGUGUUGUGUUCCUGCCGGUGAGUAAGGUUGCCAAAGCUCAACGAGGGAGAGGAUGUUAGGAUCGGCAACGCGCAUGUUACUCCUCUGGAGUUGCAGGUGUACAUAGGCUACGGAGACUGCUUAA